rnacentral:lncRNA from 1 species
UUUCUAUAUUUUUAAUAAAUUGAUCAUAACUGUUUAUUCUUAUUUGAGAUUUUUUUAAUAAAUUAAUAAUACUCGUUUGUAGGUAACAUAGGGAAUAUUAUUUUAUUCCUUUUUAGAUUCCGUCUGUCAUGGUCAGAAUUCCUAUACGCUUCAUAACAAUUUGUAGGGAAUAGAUUUUUAUAUAUAGUAGAGAUUUAGGGCGUGUUUGGUUCGAAGUCGGAGUUGGAAUCGCAAUCGGAAUCAAAAUAAGCUGGAAUCGGAAUCGGAAUGGCUCAUUACCUAAUUCCAUUUGGUUCAUCAUCCGAAUCGGAAUCGGAAUAAAUCAUUCCUAUUAUUAGUGUUUGGUUCAGGUGGAUAUAAAUAAAAAACGUAAUCAAAUUAAUAUACGAACAUUAUCUUUAUAAUAUAUUAAUUUAAAUUCAAAUUAAAUAUUAAAUAUUAAAAAUUUACAUCAAAAUUUUUAAAUAAUAUCAAAUUUUUAAAUCUAUUUUUUUAAAAUAAAUUAAUCUUUGAAGUUGAGUGGAUAAUUCAAAAUAUGAAACUAAAAUUUUAUUUAUUCAAAUUCAAAUUUAAAAUUACAAUUUAAAUUUUAAUUUGAAUCCAUAAAUUUAAUUUAAGUUUGAAAUAAAAUUUGAA